UUGCUUCAGAAGCACGUACAUUAAAGCUGAAACAACACAGAGAAGAUCCACAUAGCCCCUGUACAAGAAUGAAAUGCAAAACCCAUGAAGUGGUCCUUAUUUUC